GCCUUCGUGGUGUAAAGGUCAGCACGCUCGACGCGUAACUGAGAGGUCCGUGGUUCGAUUCCCGAUGAAGGCG
rfam:Stegodyphus mimosarum contig76714, whole genome shotgun sequence.